ACGCUGGCAGAGUGCAUCAGUCAUGCAAUUUGAGCGAACAGAUAAGGAGCUUGCUCCUCUGACGUUAGCGGCGGACGGGUGAGUAACACGUGGGUAACCUACCUAUAAGACUGGGAUAACUUCGGGAAACCGGAGCUAAUACCGGAUAACAUUUGGAACCGCAUGGUUCUAAAGUGAAAGAUGGUUUUGCUAUCACUUAUAGAUGGACCCGCGCCGUAUUAGCUAGUUGGUAAGGUAACGGCUUACCAAGGCGACGAUACGUAGCCGACCUGAGAGGGUGAUCGGCCACACUGGAACUGAGACACGGUCCAGACUCCUACGGGAGGCAGCAGUAGGGAAUCUUCCGCAAUGGGCGAAAGCCUGACGGAGCAACGCCGCGUGAGUGAUGAAGGGUUUCGGCUCGUAAAACUCUGUUAUUAGGGAAGAACAAACGUGUAAGUAACUGUGCAUGUCUUGACGGUACCUAAUCAGAAAGCCACGGCUAACUACGUGCCAGCAGCCGCGGUAAUACGUAUGUGGCAAGCGUUAUCCGAAAUUAUUGGGCGUAAAGCGCGUGGAGGCGGUCUCUUAAUUCUUAUGUGAAACCCCACUGUCUCACCGUGACAGGCUCAGGGAAACUUGAAAAACUUAAGCGC
rnacentral:rRNA from 1 species